rnacentral:rRNA from 1 species
CGGCGUGCCUAAUACAUGCAAGUCGAGCGGAGGUUAUUGAUUAGUAAUACGAGAUGACCUUAGCGGCGGACGGGUGAGUAACGCGUGAGCAACCUGGCCUAUACAGGGGGAUAACAGGGAGAAAUUCCUGCUAAUACCGCAUAAGACCACAGUAUCGCAUGGUACUGGGGUCAAAGGAGAGAUUCGGUAUAGGAUGGGCUCGCGUCCCAUUAGCUAGUUGGGGGUGCAACGGACCACCAAGGCGACGAUGGGUAGCCGACCUGAGAGGGUGAUCGGCCACACUGGGACUGAGACACGGCCCAGACUCCUACGGGAGGCAGCAGUAGGGAAUAUUGGACAAUGGGGGAAACCCUGAUCCAGCAACGCCGCGUGAAGGAAGAAGGUCUUCGGAUUGUAAACUUAUGUUGUCGGGGACGAAGAAAGACGGUACCCGACGAGGAAGCCCCGGCCAACUACGUGCCAGCAGCCGCGGUAAUACGUAGGGGGCGAGCGUUGUCCGGAAUUACUGGGCGUAAAGGGCGCGUAGGCGGCCAAUUAAGUUAGAUGUGAAAUCCCCGGGCUUAACCUGGGUGUUGCAUUUAAAACUGAUAGGCUUGAGUGCAGGAGAGGGAAGCGGAAUUCCUAGUGUAGCGGUGGAAUGCGUAGAUAUUAGGAGGAACACCAGUGGCGAAGGCGGCUUUUCUGGACUGUAACUGACGCUGAGGCGCGAGAGCGUGGGGGAGCAAACAGGAUUAGAUACCCCUGGUAGUCCC